rnacentral:tRNA from 1 species
GCCCUGAUAGCUCAGCUGGAUAGAGCAGAGGACUUCUAAGCCUAAGGUCGGUGGUUCGAAUCCACCUCGGGGCACCA